rnacentral:rRNA from 1 species
GAUGAACGCUAGCGGCAGGCUUAACACAUGCAAGUCGAGGGGCAGCGAGGGUAGCAAUACCUGUCGGCGACCGGCGCAAGGGUGCGUAACGCGUGAGCAACAUGCCCGUAUCAGGGGGAUAAUCCAGGGAAACUUGGUCUAAUACCCCAUAGUAAUAUAUUCAGGCAUCUGGAGAUAUUUAAAGCUUCGGUGGAUACGGAUUGGCUCGCGUGACAUUAGCUAGAUGGUAAGGUAACGGCUUACCAUGGCUAUGAUGUCUAGGGGUUCUGAGAGGAAGGUCCCCCACACUGGAACUGAGACACGGUCCAGACUCCUACGGGAGGCAGCAGUGAGGAAUAUUGGACAAUGGAUGGAAAUCUGAUCCAGCCAUGCCGCGUGAAGGACGACGGUCCUAUGGAUUGUAAACUUCUUUUGUAUGGGAGCAAUAAGGUCUACGUGUAGAUCGAUGAGAGUACCAUACGAAUAAGCAUCGGCUAACUCCG